rnacentral:rRNA from 1 species
GUUAAUUGCACCAGAAGUCGUUGAGCUAACCGCAAGGAAGCAGACGCCCAAGGUUCGGUUGAUGAUUGGGGUGAAGUCGUAACAAGGUAGCYGUAGGUGAACCUGCAGAAGGAUCA